CCCAAACUCCUGUAUCAAUGAAGAAUAGUAAGAAUACACGUUUACAUUUAUUUGUCGUUAGUUUUUUGUUUUAAUGGGGUCCGUGUAGCUGUGGUGCCACCGCCUCUCCUUCAUCCUCUAGACUGGAAAAAGUCUAAGUCUCGUAGUAUUUUGUAAUUGACUCUCGACAUCGCGGCUCCCCUCUGCUUCCUUCUCAGCUCCCCCCGCCUCCCCCCACCGCCCUCCCUGCACACGUGUUCACCGGCGAUUCCGAGGAAAUCAUGAGACGCCUCGGAUUUUGGCAAUCCCUGCAGCCUUCGAUUGUACGGCGUCGGUUAGUUAAAAGAUGUUCCAAUGUGCUGAUUGUGAAUUAAGAAGGGCGUGGGAGUCUUCGUUUAUCGUAAAUGCAAUCAACGCUACAGAAAAACAAACCAUCAAAGUUGCACAUAUCACUGCACGUCGUCCUUGUGCGGUCCAACGUGGCUGCUGCCAGCAUCGCUUGCUUGCGUCUGGUCCAUGGUCUGGUCACACCGAGGAACCCGCUAGUUAUCCCCCCCCCCGACCCUGGGCCUGAGUCGAGGCUACAGGAAUAGGAUGGGGCUCUUUUUGUUUUAACUUUAAAAAACAUUAUUUGAUUAUUUUAUGAGGUGCUGUUGCAUUGUGAAAGCUCCCGGGGUAAGGAUCUGCGUCUCGGCCGUCGUGUCCCUGACCUCGUUGAAGUCGUCCAAUGGGAUGUGCAGCCCUCCUUUUAUUUCCCCUUCUAUUUAUUUAGUUCCAUUGCUGGUGAUUUGAAAUGCGCAUAACUGACAUGCCUGUCUUUUUUUUUUUUGUCGCAGCACUUCCAGGCUUGCCAUGGCAGAACCCUAGACCAGUACAUUUAGAGUGUCUACUCCUAGCGCUUAUACACAGCGUAUAUGUAAACAUACGUCUGUAGAUGUUGACCUGGAAUCAUACUGACCCUUUGACCACCCAAUCAUUUUUUUUCCCUUAUACUGUAAUUUGGGUCCAUAAGCCUCCUAAAUACCUCAUUGAUGUGCUGUCAUUUGUUUCACAUGCCCUGGUUGUCUCCUUGCGUGCGCAGGGUUUAAAAUGGGGGAGAGGGAGCGAUUGAAAGGUGUGCUCUCUCUCUCUCGUGUGAGUGCGUGUGUCGUGUGCGUGUGUCCAAAAGGUUAGCGUGGAGCAAACCAUCUGUCUUGUACCAAGCAGUCUUCCUUGAAAAGCAAGAAGAAAACAGAAUUCCAGCUGAAUCAAUUGUAAAAAAAAAAAGAGAAAUUUGUUAAUGUUCACCUUCCAGUUGAUAAUAUAACGUGGAGGCUAUAGUGUACGCCAGAUUUGUAAUAUGGCUGCUCUGCUCUGCUUGCGUAGAUCAGAUCACGUUAUUUGACUGAAGUGUUAUAGAUCUAAAACAUGUAGACGCUGCCCGUAUCUGUACCACAGGACAGCUUGUGUUUUACAGUUGAUUGUUGAGUGUGUUGCUUUAAGCAGUUAAGAAUGUUUUGCCUUUCGAGCAUAGGAGCAGGCUGGGAGUCAUUAUAUAUUCGAGGGAAAGAUGCAUGUUCAUAGGUAACGCCAUUUCUCUUACUCUCACAUGUUCGGCUGAGCGAACCUGUUUCUUUUUAUUUUCAUUUCAAACUGUAGGAAUAUUAGGUUAUCGCCAAAGAAAUUACAUCACCCUAUAUCCCGAGUUACUGCCUUUCCAAGGAGCUGUCUUCGGUCUUCACAGAAACCAAUUCUUGUCAAGCUUUUCCCUGUGCAGCAAUCUCGAGUAACACCUAUUCCCAUUCUAUCCUUUCCAGAGCUCUACCUUGUGUAUUUAGCUGUAUACAUGUUUACUCGCUUACAUGGAACGUUUUUUUUUUUGUAAUCAUAUUAGAAUAUUUUAUUUUCUGUGCGGAAGUUUUCCUCCAUGCAGCCUUCCAGUGUACAUGUCAUGUCCUUUUUUCACUUUUCUUCUAUACUGUCAAACUGAAACUAAAGUGCCUUGUCUUCCUCUCAUUUAACACCCCCCCCCCCCUCCUGUCACUAAGUAUGGACCAAAGACAUCCUGCCUGUCCCAUAACGAGCCCUGACCGUCUCUCUGUCACUCACUGAAUGGCACACUUUCAUUUACUAUGAAUAAAAAAAGGUUUGCAAUACAUUCA
ensembl:lncRNA